rnacentral:tRNA from 2 species
GUCUCUGUGGUGCAAUCGCUUAGUGCGUUCGGCUGUUAACCGAAAGGUUGGUGGUUCGAGCCCACCCAGGGACG